UAGCUCAGUCAGUUGAGCAAGGCGCUGACAACGCCAACACCAAGGUCAUGGGUUCGAUUCCCGU
rnacentral:tRNA from 1 species